CGUUCAGUGCGCUCGAGCUCUCUGUGAGAUUCUUCCGACGACGCGGCGUAAAAAGCCUCUUAACGAGUCGACUCUCAGCCGUCUGACGACCCGGAGCGCCGUGAUUUUCAGGGGCGAGAAGGAGGCACCUUGUGUGCGGCUUCCAGCUAAAGGAGAGGGGGCGAGGGGGGACAGACGUGGCUGAGCCCGUGGAGAAAGCCCUGGUUUAGCCAGAAGACACGCAAGAGGUCCAAGUGGCCUCCAAAUAAAGGAAGAAAAGAAAAAACAAAGUGACAUAGAGCAGAGUCUUUGCUGAGAUUCCUCCUCCGAACUGGUCCCCGAAUACCCCAUGCAGCAGGUGGAAACAGUUGGACGUGGUCAAACGUCUGCAUGCUAUGAGGACAUUAGAUGAGUUCAUGCUUGUUCCGUGAAAUCUUGUCACAUAUUUUGUGCCAAGAAAAAUCCUGGAACUCUGUAGGUGCAGCAGCCAAACAUUGGAAGCUUCUUUCCUUCUGCCUUAG